AAAGUUCUGCUUAAUCGAAGCUACUCUAAACGACGAAUAGCCCGAGGACAGCCUGGACGCUGAGUGGUUUUUUUCCCAAGUUCCCAAAGGCAGAGUUUUAGCUACUGGGGAAAGUUUGACCAAUCCAGAUUCUGCAACCUAGACCUUGUCCAAAAUUUAUGCCAGCUGGUAUCUAAAAGAAAGAGAUAAUCAUCUUGCAGAGGAAAAAUUCCCUACCAGUUUGUUGGAUUCAGGCAAUUUAACAGCUGUUGGUGUGUGUUCAGUAUGCUAGGAUUUGCCCUGCUGGUGCAAACAUCUACUGAAUCUCAAGGAACCAUUAGAUACAAGGUUAUCUUCAUCAUAGCCAAUCUAGAAGUAAUUAUUGAAAUAGUAGAGAGAAUCCUAGUCAUUUUUGUCGAUUCUUAUCAGGAUACUGGCAUGGCGACUGACUAGUUUGAUAUUGUAGAACCCUCAACAAUUAACCACACUUAGGCAAUAUUAAUCACAAUAUGUCACAGAAGCACUUUAAAGUAAAAUUCAGAAAUUAUUUGG